rnacentral:rRNA from 1 species
CCUACGGGAGGCAGCAGUGAGGAAUAUUGGUCAAUGGUCGAGAGACUGAACCAGCCAAGUAGCGUGCAGGACGACGGCCCUAUGGGUUGUAAACUGCUUUUGUCGGGGAAUAAAGUUCGCUACGUGUAGUGUUUUGUAUGUACCCGAUGAAUAAGGACCGGCUAAUUCCGUGCCAGCAGCCGCGGUAAU